UUAAUAGAAGCCAAAGUUUUAGGCACUUCACUGUUAAUGAAUUAUUGGACUUAUAUCCCUAUUAAA
rnacentral:tRNA from 1 species